rnacentral:lncRNA from 1 species
AUGAUACAAAGGCAAGAUGAAAUUCACAACUUAAGACUCUCGGGGUUUCCUUUAUACAUAUAUGCUGUCUAACAAAAAGAGUGCGUUGAUUUUUUUUUAGAAGUUAUUUCUAAUUAUUACCAUUGUUGUGUAUGUCAACCAUCUCCUAUAAAUACAGGUGAUUUUGCAAUUCAGCAUAGACAUUUGUGUUUCUACUGUAAAGAAGUCCACAAUGAGAGGAACGUUUUUAAAUAUAGCCUUUAUGGCAGUCUGCUUUUCCCUUACUCAAGCAACACUAAUUCUUCCAGCUAUCACAAUCGGUGGUGGAGCUCUUGCAGGAUUAGCUCUUCUCAAAGCAGCUGCCAUUAAGGGUGGUAUUAUUGAGCUAUUAUCGCUCGUGGAAGUGGACGAGGAGGUAGACGUGGAGGUAGACAUAGACAUUACGGCAAACGUUCCAUCGAUGAAUUUGAAUCUGUUUUACUCUCUGCCUCUCAACGCGAUGCUUCUGACUGUGCUAAAAAAUUAGUCUGUGAAGUGAGUGGACUUACUUUGGAGGAUAUGAACUCUGAGGAAACCAUGAUCGCUCGUCUAUUCAAUCCUGAUCAUUUGGACGUCACGAAAGCUACAGUUGAAUUCGAUUUAGCUGCUCAAAUUGGAAAACGUGUUGGAAUCCAACAAUGCUCAGUCAUCUAUGAAAGAUGCCCUCACAGCAGACGUCAAUUAAUUGACAUUUUCAGAGAUCCGCGAUUGGGAAAUGAAUUCUAAGUAUUAGCUGUACCAUGUCCAACCUUUAUACCAAAUUUUUAUGUAUCCUCAUGUAAAUCAAAUUUAUAGAUAAAUGUAUAACAAAACAAAUAUAUCUACUAUUUACCAUUUAAAA